AAAAAAUAAUUUCUAGCUCCUUAUAGAUCGUCACGAAAUCGAGUUGUGAAAUAUCAUAUGUCUCAAUUCUAUUCUAUUCCUUUUCUUAGAAACAAACAUGAAAUGUUUAACCAAUGUCACACAUCUUUACAGUUUAUCUAGAGAACUUUUGGAGUUUGAAAAAACAAAUUGAGGAUUCCUUCUGAUUUUCCAAGAUAUAAUGUUCACGUUCAAAAAAGAGUGGUAAUGGUUACAGUGGGAUUAUAUAAUUUUAUCAGAAUUUCAAACCUCUCAAAUGCAGAUUUUGCAGAUGUAAUGACAGAGGCAAAUAUAAAUAACAAAGAUUUUGAUCAUAUAUGUUACAAAUAUGUUAUGGAAAACAUAUAUCCCAAAUAAGAUGACAUAGAACCAACAGAGAUAACAAAUGGAGAACAUAUAUCCCAAAUAAGAGACAAUAUUACAAAUAUGUUAUGGAAAAAUCAAAGUAGUAGAUAAUAUUUUUAAUGUUUUUUAUGAUGAAAUUAGUCAACGCAUGUAAUAAUAUAUAGGGAAUGUGACACGUUUAGGCACUUUUAGAGAAUCUUUUUCCUUUUGAGGCACUUUUCAGGGAUGAGGCACUUUGCCAUCUUUUUAGGGAAAAUUAGAGUAAUUUACCCCUGAAAUAGUGAUGACGCAAUAAUUUUUAAACUCAUUUUUUAUGAGAUUGUGUGGGUAAGAAACUAUCCUCUUUUUAUCAUCUCUCUCUUCCAUAUUCUUUUGUUUUCACCAUUUUUAAUCUCUCUUUCAAAAUCAUUGUCGUUCUAUAAUUCUUACAAAAUCAUGAAAAUUAUGAGGUUAUCUCAAAAUUCACAAUCACAAUCUAUGUUUAUCCUAAAUUUCCUUUAUUUUGUCAGUUUUGUAUCUUUUUCUCUAUUCGAGGGAUGCUGGAAUUGGGAAAGAAGAAAAAUUGAAUCGUUGUUUGGGAGAGGUAAGAGCAUCUUUAACCAAAUUCUAUUCUCUCUGGUAUUGGAUUUUUACUUGGUUUUAUCUGUUUCUUAAGAUUGAAUAUUAAAUUGAUA
rnacentral:sRNA from 1 species